GGUUUUUUGAAAAGUAAUUCAAAUUAGUUUCAUAAGUUUAGUUAUUGUUAUCAUUAAAUUAUAAUUUUCGUAAGUGAAGCAGUCUAAGAAUUACUAUGUCAGAGGGGGAUGAUGAUGGCGAUUUUGAUGAGAAUGCAGAUCCAAACACGAGUCAUGUUUCGCAAAGCAAUACUAGCACCAAUUCUAAUCCUGUAAAUAAAUUAGCUAUACCUGCUGAAUUCUUUACAUGUGUAGAAGACGUGCCUGGCAAAAAUACCAGUGUAUAUCGGUGUCUACAUCCAGGCUGCGUCUCAAAAAAGAAAAAGGAUUGUUCUGAUAAACCACUUGCGGUGUAUCAUAAUUCGCGACACAAUGCAAAGCGAACAUUGCAUUUCUUGGUGGGUGUUAUUUUCUUACAUAUUUUAUUUACAUAUUUUCCUAUCAGACUCGCACAAUAACUUUUCCUAACAACCUUCCAGAAUCAUGAUCCUGGUAACCAGCUUGUACAUACAAAACUUUGGGAAGAUGCUGUAAAACUACUAGAUAAUUCGACAACUCUCAACAACACAGCCACUUCAGUAAAUAGACGUGUCAUGAUUUCACAAGAAGACCUUGAUAGUUGGGUCUUGGUAAUUAAUUCAUUGAAUAUAGACUGUAAUGUAUUUCUUUCAUUAAUGUAAAUAUUUCUUUUUAGAA